rnacentral:rRNA from 1 species
AGUGAACGCUGGCGGUAGGCCUAACACAUGCAAGUCGAACGGCAGCACAGUAAGAGCUUGCUCUUACGGGUGGCGAGUGGCGGACGGGUGAGGAAUACAUCGGAAUCUACUUUUUCGUGGGGGAUAACGUAGGGAAACUUACGCUAAUACCGCAUACGACCUACGGGUGAAAGCAGGGGAUCUUCGGACCUUGCGCGAUUGAAUGAGCCGAUGUCGGAUUAGCUAGUUGGCGGGGUAAAGGCCCACCAAGGCGACGAUCCGUAGCUGGUCUGAGAGGAUGAUGAGCAGCACUGGGACUGAGACACGGUGCAGACUCCUACGGGAGGCAGCAGUGGGGAAUAUUGGACAAUGGGCGCAAGCCUGAUCCAGCCAUACCGCGUGGGUGAAGAAGGCCUUCGGGUUGUAAAGCCCUUUUGUUGGGAGAGAAAAGCAGCAGGUUAAUACCCCGCUGUUCUGACGGUACCCAAAGAAUAAGCACCGGCUAACUUCGUG